AUUGAAUGCUGGCGGCAUGCUUUACACAUGCAAGUCGAACGGUAACAGGCCUUCGGGUGCUGACGAGUGGCGAACGGGUGAGUAAUGCAUCGGAACGUACCCAGAGGUGGGGGAUAACGCAGCGAAAGCUGUGCUAAUACCGCAUGUGAUCUGAGGAUGAAAGCGGGGGACCGAGCAGCAAUGUUUGGCCUCGCGCCUUUGGAGCGGCCGAUGUCGGAUUAGCUAGUUGGUGGGGUAAAGGCCUACCAAGGCGACGAUCCGUAGCUGGUCUGAGAGGACGACCGGCCACACUGGGACUGAGACACGGCCCAGACUCCUACGGGAAGCAGCAGUGGGGAAUUUUGGACAAUGGGCGCAAGCCUGAUCCAGCAAUGCCGCGUGCGGGAAGAAGGCCUUCGGGUUGUAAACCGCUUUUGGCAGGAACGAAACGGUGUCCGCUAAUACCGGGCGCUAAUGACGGUACCUGCAGAAUAAGCACCGGCUAACUACGUG
rnacentral:rRNA from 1 species